rnacentral:lncRNA from 1 species
UCAUCCUUACUCCCAGUUACAAGUCUUCAAGGAUGUGGGUUUUGGCAGUGUUAGGAGCCAUAUUACGUAAUAUUGCAAGAGUUCAGGUCCGACAAGGGAGCUACCUCUCAAUUAUGAUCAACAUGCUCUUCCUGUAGAAGUUUUAAAAAUAGUUUACACAUUAAAAGAUGAGGGACCAGGAGUUGUAAGUAUGGAUAUUGUGGAUGUUAAUUAUCCAAGAUGGAAGCU